rnacentral:lncRNA from 1 species
CGCCGUUCUGGUUGACGACACGCGGCGGUGCUGUGCAGGGGCCCUGGAGAGAGCUGGAAACUCUGCAGCCUUCCUCGCCCUCCCAGCAAGCCCAACCCUGCCUGGCUCCAGAUCGGUCAUGCCUGGAUGGGUUUAAAGAGCCGCAAUCCAUUCUGAUGGAGAAGUUAUAAACUUCAUUCUGCAAGCUUGGAUAAGAUACAGGACAGGAGCUAGUACCUAGUACCCAGUACUCCCUCCACAGGAGAGCCAGGGGAAGGAAGCUACAGACCUUUCACCGUCCUGGAAAUUCAUUCCUUCAACGCAUUUUUUGCAUGCCUACCAUGGGCUAGGAAUCAAUGAAGAGUAAGCCCCAA